rnacentral:piRNA from 1 species
UACGAACUUCACACUACGUAAAUUGUGCC